rnacentral:rRNA from 1 species
GACAGAGGGGGCAAGCGUUGCUCGGAAUCACUGGGCGUAAAGGGCGCGUAGGCGGGAUGGCAAGUCGGUCGUGAAAUCCUUCGGCUCAACCGAAGAACGUCGGCCGAUACUGCCGUUCUUGAGGGAUGCAGAGGAGAUUGGAAUUCCCGGUGUAGCGGUGAAAUGUGUAGAGAUCGGGAGGAACACCGGUGGCGAAGGCGGGUCUGCUGGGCAUCUCCUGACGCUGAGGCGCGAAAGCGUGGGGAGCAAACGGG